GGCUGAAUCUCAGACAGCAGAGGACGAGGUGGCUGAAUCUCAGACAGCAGAGGACGAGGUGGCUGAAUCUCAGACAGCAGAGGACGAGGUGGCUGAAUCUCAGACAACAGAAGAUGUAGCAGAUGAAGGGGGACAGGUAGUGGAAGAAGGGCAGGAAAAAAGAUUGAUAUCACAGAGUUUAACACACAAUGCGAUGCACAUCAGUCGGAGAGCUUAUUGCUCAGAGGGUGGCGCCAAGGUUGCUGGAGUGAUGGAAGGAGGGAGGGGCNNNNNNNNNNCACACACACACACACACACACACACACUUGGAACCUCCUACACACACACACAACGUAGAGAAGGUUCGAUAAGGGUGUGUUGACCUUUUCCAGGGGAGUAUGAGACCACUACAACUCCAGAACUUGAGAGCCCCAGUGAAAAGAACCAGAACCAGAAUCAGAGCCUGGGCUGGGAGGAGAGGAUUCAGGCAUUUGUGGAGGACAGUCUGGAGGCCCAUGAAGAGUUCCUACAGACACAGAGAGAACAGCCAGAAAAGGAGGAGCUAGGGAAUGAACAGCCACUGAAGAAGCAGCUAGACAGAGAACAACCAGAAAGAGAGUAUCCGGAGAGAGAUCAGCUAGAGAGAAAGCACCAAGAGGGAGAUCAGCUAGAGAUUGAAGACCAAGAGGGAGAUCAGCUAGAGAGAGAGCACCAAGAGGGAGAUCAGCUAGAGAGAGAGCACCAAGAGGGAGAUCAGCUAGAGAGAGAGCACCAAGAGGGAGAUGAGCUAGAGAGAGAGGACCAAGAGGGAGAUCAGCUAGAGAGAGAGGACCAAGAGGGAGAACAGCCAGAUGGAGAGCAAGCAGCAGAACAAAGCUUAAAGGAAGAACUGUUAAACCAGUCAAAGAGAGAACAACUACAAAGAAGGCAGCCAAAGAGAGAGAAGUUAGAGAGAGAGCAGUCAGUAUGUGGCCAGCCAGAGUCUCAGACAGCUGGGGUGAUUGUAGAGCACGGUCCUGGACCAAUGGUGACUGAGCUAGAGGAGAGAGAGGACCUGGAGACCAUCCACCUGGAGCCACGCCCACCACUUCGUAUUGAUGAUCUCCCUGAUCUGGAGGAUGUGAAUGUUGAAGAUCCAGACAGCACCUGCAUCUUCUCCUCUCAGCAAGUAUUCCGGCCAAAGAUAGAGGUAAUUUCAGGAGACACCAACGAUGUAGAUCCAAUCAUACAUCAGAGUGGGACUGUGUGGAUCACAGAGACCACACCUACCUCAGAUCCAAGCUCAUCUUCACUGUUCAGGGUCUGUAACAACACGUCAAACAAAUCGCCCACCAAUCACCUGGUAGCAUUGGACCCAGAGGCGGGGGAUGCCCCAGAGCUGGUGAUAUCAGACCCUCAGGGAGAAGCCAGGCAGAGGCAGAGCCCUGAAGCCAGAAAACCAGGUUGUCUCAUUGAGGAGCUGGACUAA
rnacentral:lncRNA from 13 species